rnacentral:rRNA from 1 species
CAAUAGCGUAUAUUAAAGUUGUUGCAGUUAGAACGCUCGUAGUCGGAUUUCGGGGCGGGCCGACCGGUCUGCCGAUGGGUACGCACUGGUCGGCGCGUCCUUCCUUCCGGAGACCGUGCCUACUCUUAACUGAGCGGGGGCGGGAGACGGAACGUUUACUUUGAAAAAAUCAGAGUGUUUCAAGCAGGCAGUGCGCUCUUGCAUGGAUUAGCAUGGGAUAAUGAAAUAGGACUUUGGUGCUAUUUUGUUGGUUUCGAACACCGAAGUAAUGAUUAAAAGGGACAGUCAGGGGCACUCGUAUUCCGCCGAGAGAGGUGAAAUUCUCAGACCAGCGGAAGACGAACCACUGCGAAAGCAUUUGCCAGGGAUGUUUNCACUG